rnacentral:lncRNA from 10 species
CGUUUCACUUGCACUCUCUGCUUCUUUAUACUAGAGGACAAACUCCAGGAGAACAGAGUUCUCCUGGUGGAGCUGUCAUAGAGUUUGCCCUCUAGUAGAAAGAAGCCGAGAGGGCAAAGGUCUGUUUCCUGCCUUGCUAUGCACUCCUCCUCCUGCCAUCUACAGCACAAUGACUGUCACACAGCAGGCACUCAGCAGAUAUGAAGAGCUUCUGAUAUCUAUAUGGUAAAGUAGAGAACUGGACAAGGGUUCUCACAGCUCAUGCUGAGAAGAAAACCCAAGGGAUUCCUCUCUUAAUUCUUCCACUCAGAUAAACUCAGAGAAGACUGCCUCUCAUUUCACUCAUCUCUAUUUGUAUCUAUAUUUUCAUGUUAUCUGUGUGAUGAACCCCAUUUUCCCUCUACUGCUCUCAAACUGCAGCAGCAGGGAGCAGAACCUGCCCCAAUCAGCUGCUCUGGGGAGAGACUGACGCCUACCCCACUCUUCCUCUCCCCACUUGCUGAGGUGGGAAAGGCUCCAAAAUUAUAGUUUAGUGCACGUUCCGCAGCUCGCCCUUCUAGGUUUCAGGUGAAAUGUUUUUAUAGCCGUGUAUUCUCUAAAUCUACCCGAACAUGCAUUACUUCAUCAACAUCAGAAAACAUAAGAAUUCAAAAUUAACGUUAAGUACAAAUUUUCCUUUUAUCUGAAGAUACACAUUGUA